UCUUCAUACAAAGAGUACUUGGUGUUUGGAAUGAGCGACGGGGAAGGCAUGGAGAGUGGGCGUCGGGAGGAUGUUUCCCAUAGCGGGGCAGUCUAGGAUCAGAGAGCACAGCAGAAUGGAGAGACCUCGCUUCUGCACAGACAUGAGAAAGAAUUUCUUUAGCCAGAGGGUGGUGAAUCUGUGGAAUUCAUCGCCGCAGAUUGCUGUGGAUGCCACGUCAUUGGAUAUAUUCAAAGGUUACGAGAAGAAAGCAGGAAAAUGGAGCUGAGAGGGAUAAUAAAUUAGCCAUGAUGGAAUAGCGGAAGACUCAAUGGGCCGAAUGGAGACGCCGUGCAGAAUAGGCUGCGCCGCCCAACACUCCCCCGAUUCACCGGACAAUUUAUAGUGACCAAUUAACCUACUAAGCGGUAACGGGCUGUGGGAGAAACCGGAGCACCCGGAGCGGCCACGGGGAGAGCGCACAGGAAGCAGAGGGAACUGAACCCGGAUCACUGAUACUGUCAAGAGUUGAGCGACCACGCCAUCCUAGGUCCUAUGGUUUAACAGGAGGCGGUGACCAGGAACGAUGCAGCUUGACCUGCUGUUCAUCCAACAGUUCGUCUGUUACUCCAGAUUCCAACAUUUGUCAUCUUGCACCCAAAUAACGUAGCCCGCCUUCCCCGCUCCCCACCAUCUCUGAUCCCACAACCUGGUACCUCCCGUGUCCCUUCACUCCAACCCCACCGCCCUCGGCUGCCAGGAGGUGAACACAAGCAGUUACUGGGCGCCAUCUGGAACCGACCCACCUCCGGGAGUGCCCGACUCCUCUCUGACCGUGGGGAUCCGCCUGAGAAGCGAGCCUUGCGCUCGGGAGCUGCAAUCUGCACGGGAUUAGGCUGGAGGAGGUGGGAACAUGCGUUGGUCUACAGAUCCCUGGAGACCCCCUUCCCCCUCCUCAGGAUAACGCUACGUUAUACCUUCGGCAACCAUCCAUAGUCCUGCCGGGAGUCUAUAAAACAUAGGAGCAGAAUUCGGCUAUUCAACCCAUCGCGGCUGCUCUCCAUUCUACCAUGGCUGAUUUAUUAUAAUCCCUUUCAACACCAUUCUCCCGAUUUCGCCCCGUAACCCUGGCGCCCAUCACAGCCCGUCUCCGUGCCCGUGUCCCAAGAGUUGGGCACCUUGGACCGAGCUCGCGAUACAGCAACUCAUCAGCCGCUCCAGGAACCACGGGGACCUUGUGCCGCCAGCAGAACCCGGACCCGCUCCGAAAGUGCCCUUUACCAAUCCAAAACAGAUCUUGCUGAAGUUCCCUGUCCCUCUUCGGUCAGACAGCGCCAUCUGGUGGCCACCAGCUCCGGCGCAGGCACCGACCCUGCGCGGCGCUUCUCUCCUCCGGACACCGGCGCUGCCCGACCCGCUCCUCCUCCACGAUGGGCCUGCGAUGCCAAUGGACGGCCAAUCAAUUUACUUUUCCAUUAGACAGGAGCCAGAAUGCAGCCCUGGGUUGGCUCACUGCAGCCUUUCCGCUCAAGGGUUCUUUUGAAGACCUUGACCUGGAGUUACACACUUUGUGGGAAUGGGACCCACUCUCAGGGUUUCACAAUCGGCCGUUAUUCACCAUGCCAAGGAUGCAGCCGAAGGGCUUCACUCACCUUCAGAGGUCUGGGAUCUCGUGGCUCUGGAGACGACAGAUCAAAGGUCGGUGUCCCAGCAGGAAUCAGUGUAUCAUGGGAGACAGAAGAUCUCUGGCUCUGUGCCCAGAGACCUGAGUUCUUUGGGCACAGAGCUUGGAAAAAGUGAUGCAACAGACUUUCUACAUCGUAAAUCAACAAGUUAUGUCUCCCCACUCGUUGUGAAACGGAGACACCUCUUUCUCCCUUGUUAGGGAGAGAGAGCCUGCAGAAUGUCAAAUACCGGGUGAACGAGUCUUUGGGGUACAGCAAGCCUGUGUCUUUGCUGUUGCUUUGUUCAUGCUUGAGUGCUUGAUGGGGGGCGG